rnacentral:lncRNA from 1 species
CCUCUCAACUAUACGUGAGCCUGAAAUUGUCUUCUAUUUUUGAUUAAAUUACAUAAAAUCCGCAUGUCAGUAUCCGCUUUUUUACUUUCUCCCUUUCUGUCAUUCAAAAAUAUAUACAUUGUCCCCUUAAACAAUAAAAAAUGUUCACUUCAGCCUCCGCCAUAAGUGUUCCAUAAGAAUUCCAUUUAUAUCUUAUUUUGUAUAUCCAAAAUACCUCUGAAACUAUCAUCCAUACCCACACGCAUGCCCUCUGUCGCUACCUCGCCCUCGCCCUCGCUCUCGCCCACCCCUCUGUCCAUGCUCAGACACAAACCCUCACCCUCUUCCGCCGUUGGGAUGAGCAAGAUUGGAGAGGAGGAGAUGAAGAAGAUGAGGGCAAUUUGGUCAUUUUAUCACACUGUACCUCCUGUGAAUAAUUUUUAUUUUUUAGGGAGGCAAAGUGUAGGUUUUUGAAUGACGGAAGGAAAAGUGAAAAAGCGAAUAUUAACAUGAAAGUUUUAUAUAAUUUAGCCCUUUUUUUUUUUAGAGAGAGAAAGGUAGCAUGUUACCUGCUUCAUUCAUUAGACGAAAUAAACUAAGCAUACAAGAUGAAAGAAGCCAAGGCCUCCUAGGAAACAAAAAAAUAUAGAAGAAAUAAAACAGAAGAAAAGAGAGAUAGGAACCAAAAACCAGCAAUGGAAAAGAAAUAGAAAAGACGUGAGAAGAAAAGUCAGCUACACCGAAAUAGAUAAUCUACGAGGCG